rnacentral:tRNA from 2 species
AAUGACGAGCCUGAUUAAAGGAUUAUCGUGAUAGGAUAAAACAUGUAGAAUAAAACUUCUACCCUCAUUA